CAGACAAGGGCACCACCGGUGAAAGCCGGUCUCGCAAAGCCAAGGGCCUAAACGGAAGGUAUUCCGCAUGGCAGCCGGUUUCC
rnacentral:ncRNA from 1 species